AUGUAGCCGUGGAGCUGAAAGGCCAGAGAAGAGUGGCGGUUAGGAACCAGGACUUCCUGUGGAACCGGAAGCGAAACAUGGAAGGCGAGCGGCGGCUGAAGCCGAGGAAUGCUCGUUUCUUCGGGAUCUAACUGCUAUUUAGCGAAGCCGCCUGGUUCGGGUCGGCAGCGCCUCCAGAGCAGGUCCAGUCGGAGCAAGAGGAACGGUUCGAAACCAGCAGCUGGUUUUACCCGCCUACAGGAGGGACAUGAAAUGUUGGACCUCUCUGCUAGCACUCAGUAGCGCUAGCAAUUGUCCAAAAUGGAUGAAAAAUAAAUCCGCUUAAAAGAGACACGCACAUUUAAAAAAAAAACCCACAUUUUUUAAAUAGGUUUCGGUGCCGAGGUUAGGCGACAUUUAUUGAAAUUAGUGACUGACGGGUCAGCAAAUGGAUUUUACUGCUGGUGGAAAACAUGAAGAAGACGACAGGAAAUGGCAGGAGGAUAACGGCACGGCUUGUUUUUAAUGACUGACUGCAUCAACAAACUUACAUGAAAUUUGAAUUAAAUUUCUUAUGUAAUGGAAA